CAGUACCGCGUCUGCAGUCAGCGUGUACACGAUCAACUCCGGAUCCCCUCAGCGUUUACACAGGCUCUAAGGAUACAAGAAACUCGUAUCCAAACAGUACCAGUAGAGAUUUGUCCACUACUCCACAACAAUGAGGCAUGUCUGCAGGGGGAGUCCAUGACAGUGAACUUCAUUCCCCAGUCAUUUCAUUUGGCGAAAGUGAUAAUGGAGAAAAUCUUUAUCCGACAAGCUUCUCACCAUCAUCAGGGGGCGUUGUCCAAACAUCUGGCACAGAUUAUCCCCCAGUGUGGAGGCGCAGCAUGAGCCGACACCUCAGAAUCCAACGCCUCAACAGCAACCACCAAACCAUCCAACAGAACAGGCACCACAACAUCCGUAUAGCAGGACGGAGUAGUUACUUUUAGAAAAUUUAAUAGCGACGAAGAGGUUGACACAAGCUGUUGAAAAUAUGAAAAUUACAUAGCCACAUAGACAAUGCAUUAGCCCGUGUAAACCUUGAGCAGCGUCAGGCGAUGGAUCAUAUGCGUCAAUUCAUUUUGGACGCUAUUUAUCGUCAACAUCAACACAAUGCUCCAUAGCAUAAUACAUUAAUUGGAGCUGUAUAUUAAUAGCUCUUUUGAUGUCUGC